CAUGAAAUGGACACGAUCGCCCAGACUUUAUCUCAUUUGCUGUUCUGCGCUAAUGCAAACACAGACACUCAAAAACACACGCGUCUAUUCUUACCAUCAAUGGAGAUCAAUGAUGUGGCUUUUGUGGGUGCUUCACCACUAAGUGCUUUGUGUGUGAUGCUAACUGGGUUUAUGGGGAACACCAUGCUAGAUGUCUUUAUGAGCUACCAUUAAGCCAACUGGUUCAUUGGGACUGAGACCACUAUGCUACCUGGAUUUAUAGGGACUGGUGUAGAAACACGAGCGGGCUUCAUGGAGAUUUAUCCAGCAACGCUUGGUGUGUGUGUGUGUGUGUGUGUGUGUGUGUGUGUGUGUGUGUGAUGACAGCCAACAGAUGAUUCUGUCGCCUCUGGUUCCGCAAGGACCACUGACGAGCUGCGUCUGUGUGCCCUAAUAAAACCCCACUCUGUGACAGCGACUCUGACGGUUUACUCUAGCUCUGCUGAUGGAUUCGACACGCACGCACGCAGGCACGCACACACGCACACUGACACACCCCUCUGGCGAUGGCUAGCAGUCUGGCAGGAGGCAGUGUAGAGCAUCACCAGAGCCCAGGUGACAGAGGCUUCAGCUGUGUGACUCGGCAUGAUGUCCAUCUGUCCCCCAGGUGAGGCUGCGGUGUGUGUGUGUGUGUGUGUGUGUGUGUGUGUGUGUGUGUCUGUCUGUGUGGUCUACCACGUGUGUGUGUGGUUGUGUUUCCCCCGUCGAGACGCCAUGAAAACCCCUCCUCUUCAUGAACUGCAUCAUUCUAUUUUCCUCCCUCUCUCUCUUCCACCCACGCCUUUUCCCUUCACCAUUAUUACCAUGUUCUCCCUCUCGCUCUCUCUCCCUCUCAGUCCCUCUCACCUCCCCGUUGUCUUCCACUCCGUCUCUCACCCUCUCUCACUCCUCUCUCUCCCUCUCAGUCCCUCUCACCUCCCCGUUGUCUUCCACUCCGUCUCUCACCCUCUCUCACUCCUCUCUCUCCCUCUCAGUCCCUCUCACCUCCCUCUCUCAUCAAUCUCUCCCCUUUGCUCCAGUCUCUUUCGCUCUUAUUGAAGUUAAGGUAGAAGGUAAGGUAUAAGUUAAUGUAGGGUAUAAAUUAAGUUAAGGUAUAAGAUAAGUUAAGGUAAGCAGCAAGUAAAGGUCAGUAGUCGAAGUAUACAAAAACAGAAGAUAUUUUUUUUUAUGUUUCUCAAAUUAAAUUCAAACUACAGAAGACAUGUCUCUAUACCCUCCUAGUAUUAAAAGUGAAGCUAUAAUCCAGAUCUGGGAAAUCUUUGCCGGAUAUCCAGUGAGGUAAUGUGCAGGAUUAGAGUGAGUAAGUCUGCUUCCAGGAACUUGGAUUGGAUCAGUGGAUGAGAUGAGAUCUGGAUGAUGAUGAUGUUGAGGCUGACUUCCAAUCAGUCAAAUCACCCUGACCCUGCGAUGCAGUUCGUUAUUCACACAGACACAACACACACUCACACAACACACGCACCCCUUGUGAUCUUUGAGUGGUCUUCCCUCGGGAUGACAUCAUUGCCCUGGGAUGAUAUCACUUUGGGGGCCAAAGGUUUUCAGAAGUUUCAACACACACACGUACACA